rnacentral:rRNA from 1 species
CGUGAGCGGCGGACGGGUGAGUAACGCGUGGGUAACCUGCCUCAUACAGGGGGGUAACAGUUAGAAAUGACUGCUAAUACCGCAUAAGACCACGGUACCGCAUGGUACAGUGGUAAAAACUCCGGUGGUAUGAGAUGGACCCGCGUCUGAUUAGGUAGUUGGUGGGGUAACGGCCUACCAAGCCGACGAUCAGUAGCCGACCUGAGAGGGUGACCGGCCACAUUGGGACUGAGACACGGCCCAG